GAUGAAGAACGCAGCGAAAUGCGAUACGUAAUGUGAAUUGCAAAUUCAGUGAAUCAUCGAAUCUUUGAACGCACAUUGCGCCCCCUGGUAUUCCGGGGGGCAUGCCUGUCCGAGCGUCAUUACAACCCUCAAGCUCAGCUUGGUGUUGGGCCCCGCCGCCCCGGCGGGCCCUAAAGUCAGUGGCGGUGCCGUCCGGCUCCGAGCGUAGUAAUUCUUCUCGCUCUGGAGGUCCGGUCGUGUGCUCGCCAGCAACCCCCAAUUUUUUUCAGGUUGACCUCGGAUCAGGUAGGGAUACCCGCUGAACUUAAGCAUAUCAAUAAGCGGAGGA
rnacentral:misc_RNA from 1 species